UACGGAGGGUGCUAGCGUUGUUCGGAAUCACUGGGCGUAAAGGGCGCGUAGGCGGCCUCUUAAGUCGAACGUGAAAUCCCCGGGCUCAACCCGGGAACUGCGUCCGAUACUGGGGGGCUUGAAUCCGGGAGAGGGAUGUGGAAUUCCAGGUGUAGCGGUGAAAUGCGUAGAGAUCGGGAGGAACACCGGUGGCGAAGG
rnacentral:rRNA from 1 species